AGAGUUUGAUCAUGGCUCAGAAUCAACGCUGGCGGCGCGCCUAACACAUGCAAGUCGAACGAGAAAGUGGAGCAAUCCAUGAGUACAGUGGCGUACGGGUGAGUAACACGUGGGUAAUCUACCUCUUAGUGGGGAAUAACCAGGGGAAACUCUGGCUAAUACCGCAUAAGCCUGAGAAGGGAAAGCAGCAAUGCGCUGAGAGAGGAGCCCGCGGCCGAUUAGCUAGUUGGUGGGGUAAGAGCCCACCAAGGCAGAGAUCGGUAGCCGGCCUGAGAGGGCACACGGCCACACUGGCACUGAAACACGGGCCAGACUCCUACGGGAGGCAGCAGUGGGGAAUCUUGCACAAUGGGGGAAACCCUGAUGCAGCGACGCCGCGUGAGCGAUGAAGCCCUUCGGGGUGUAAAGCUCUUUCGUCAGGGACGAUAAUGACGGUACCUGGAGAAGCAGCUGCGGCUAACUACGUGCCAGCAGCCGCGGUAAUACGUAGGCAGCAAGCGUUGUUCGGAGUUACUGGGCGUAAAGGGUGUGUAGGCGGUUCUUUAAGUUUGGUGUGAAAUCUCCCGGCUCAACUGGGAGGGUGCGCCGAAUACUGAGGGACUAGAGUACGGGAGAGGAAAGUGGAAUUCCUGGUGUAGCGGUGAAAUGCGUAGAUAUCAGGAGGAACACCGGUGGUGUAGACGGCUUUCUGGACCGUAACUGACGCUGAGACACGAAAGCGUGGGUAGCAAACAGGAUUAGAUACCCUAGUAGUCC
rnacentral:rRNA from 1 species